AAGAUUUUAAGUUAAUAUAAACUAAUAGCCUUCAAAGCUGGAAAUAAAGCCACUUUAAGUCUUA
rnacentral:tRNA from 1 species